rnacentral:rRNA from 1 species
AGCGAACGCUGGCGGCAGGCCUAACACAUGCAAGUCGAACGGAUCCUUCGGGAUUAGUGGCGGACGGGUGAGUAACACGUGGGAACGUGCCCUUUGGUUCGGAACAACUCAGGGAAACUUGAGCUAAUACCGGAUGUGCCCUUCGGGGGAAAGAUUUAUCGCCAUUGGAGCGGCCCGCGUCUGAUUAGCUAGUUGGUGGGGUAAAGGCUCACCAAGGCGACGAUCAGUAGCUGGUCUGAGAGGAUGAUCAGCCACAUUGGGACUGAGACACGGCCCAAACUCCUACGGGAGGCAGCAGUGGGGAAUCUUGCGCAAUGGGCGAAAGCCUGACGCAGCCAUGCCGCGUGAAUGAUGAAGGUCCUAGGAUUGUAAAAUUCUUUCACCGGGGACGAUAAUGACGGUACCCGGAGAAGAAGCCCCGGCUAACUUCGUGUCAGCCGCCGCAGUAAUAC